UCACCGUUGGUGAACCAGCGGAGGGAUCAUUACCGAGUGCAAACUCAUAACCCUUUGUGAACCUAUAUCUGUUGCUUCGGCGGCUCGCUCUCGGGCGAGCCCGCCGGUAAUAUCAGUAUCUCUGUUUGAACCCGACGAUACUUCUGAGUGUUCUUAGCGAACAGUUAAAACUUUUAACAACGGAUCUCUUGGCUCUA
rnacentral:misc_RNA from 1 species